UUCAUUUAUCUUUCCUCUCAGUCGAUUACAAAGAAAUUAUUUUUAUAUAAUUUCUAUCCAAGUCUUUGAAAGAAAAAAUUUGUACGUCUUAGAUAACGUUCAUAACAAUCACUGAGUCAUGUAAAGGUUAAUGAGUAAAUGUAAAUAUAUAGAUAUCGAUUUUGACCUUGUUUACUUUGUUCGUGUAUUUACGUAGAACUUUAUUCUCAUAUAUAUACAUUUACAAAGAGUAUUAAAUACAAUCUUAGUACGUCCUUCGAAUUUAGUUCAACGGGAACAACCAAAGAGGAAGGAUCUCCCGACAGAAGAGAAGUUCAUUUACAUUUGUGAGUAGAAAAAUUCCAAGAUAUAAAUUCAGUGUGACGCAGACAAGAUCCACAUAUCUCUUUGUUUACUCGUGACCUUCUCGUAUAUGCGUACCUAUCGUCCUAGCACAAUCAUUCCGUCUUCUGCUGUUGGUGCGUCAACUACGAAUUCGAUCUGUCUCGCUUCCUUCUUUUCGUAAUUAUUUUAGCAGAGUGGAAACAAGAAACCUAUUUUUUACGUCGUCCGUUUCAGUGGAGUUAUGAAAAAAAGAAAAAAGAAGAAAACGAGUCUUUGUGAAACCCGAAUAAAACCUAAGAGUUAAAGGACACUUAUUUUAAAAAAAUCUUAAGUAUAGUUUUACAAAGGCAUUUUAAUUUAAGGAUUUUAAUAUACCUGCGUUUCGUUUAGAAUUACAAUGAUGAAGUAAAAGAAUGAUACUUUUUUUUUACUAUUUUAUAAGUUCUUUCAUUAUUUCUUUUUUUUUACAAUACCGAUCUAAUUCAUUCAUCUUAAAAUUUUUAUUUCGAUAUUUAUUUCGUAUGCAAAAUAUUUGUUAAAUUUUCUUCCUUAUUAUUUUCUAAUUUAGAUAAAGGAUAUAGCAAGAACGUUUACGAACAAUUGACGAAAGCUUUUAUGUAACAUUUUCACAAAAAUGAGAGAAUGUGAGAGGACGUGAUAAAGAUUUCACGAAUCCCUUUUGAAAUUAAUGAGGCGAACAAGAGAGCGAUAGGAGCAGCUAGAAUACGUUGAGAUAAGAAUAUUCCAGGGUUGUCCUAUAUUACGAUUGUAUCGUAUCUCUUUUUAAGAUAGUUGGAACAAGUUAUAAGCGAUUCUGUACGUCAAAGAGUACCGAAAGAAAUAUUAUAUUUGUCAAAUUUCA